UCCGGGCGAAGUCUUCCUACAAGUGAAGUUGGGGGCGAAGUCCGGCUCCCAUAGGAGUCCGGAUGAGGUCUACCUGCAAGUGAAAGUCGGUGAAGUUCGGCUCCCGUAGGAGCCCGUCUGUCGUGAAGAAUCUGGUCGACGUUGGCGGGGGUUGAUCCGUUGGCAAAACUUGAGAAUGUUACGGAGGCUCGGCCGCCAGAGAGGUUCGGAGAGAUGCCGUCGAAGGUCGGAAGUUGGCAAAAUCCCCGGAGGGUCACUCCUGGCAUGAACUUCGGCUGUUGGGAUAUUUUGUACCUAACAAGAUGAAUUAUAUGAAAACUAUAUCCGCAUGGGUUCUAUGGAUGUUGUUCUACACAUUCGACCUAUCCGAUCAUCGGGUACCAUUGCUAGAUGGUCACUUCGAUUGGUACAAGAAUUUGUUCCUAUGCUACCGACUUAGGUUCGGACCUAUGAGGUCACACACAUUAGAGUUCAUGAUCCGAUCGGAUGGUUGAUCAAUGAUUAAGAAUCGUUCUAGGAUUAAAUGAUCAAUACGAUUGACAUUUAACCCAGUGCAAGUGUUGCAGGAGGAUCGAUUAGCGAUUCGAUUGCUAAUUGGCUUAAUUAGAUUAAGCCAAUGGGCUGAGA
rnacentral:lncRNA from 1 species